rnacentral:rRNA from 1 species
UACGUAGGUCCUGAGCGUUGUCCGGAUUUAUUGGGCGUAAAGCGAGCGCAGGUGGUUUAUUAAGUCUGGUGUAAAAGGCAGUGGCUCAACCAUUGUAUGCAUUGGAAACUGGUAGACUUGAGUGCAGGAGAGGAGAGUGGAAUUCCAUGUGUAGCGGUGAAAUGCGUAAAUAUAUGGAGGAACACCGGUGGCGAAAGCGGCUCUCUGGCCUGUAACUGACACUGAGGCUCGAAAGCGUGGGGAGCAAACAGG